UACGGAGGAUCCGAGCGUUAUCCGGAUUUAUUGGGUUUAAAGGGUGCGCAGGCGGGAGAUUAAGUCGGUGGUGAAAUUUUGCAGCUUAACUGUAACAGUGCCGUUGAUACUGGGGAGCUAGGAUUUGGUUGCUGUGGGUGGAAUGUGUGGUGUAGCGGUGAAAUGCUUAGAGAUCACACAGAAUAUCGAUUGCGAAGGCAGCUCACAAAGCCAAGAUUGACGCUGAGGCACGAAAGUGUGGGGAUCAAACAGGAUUAGA
rnacentral:rRNA from 1 species